rnacentral:rRNA from 1 species
AACGAACGCUGGCGGCAGGCCUAAUACAUGCAAGUCGAACGAGAAAGCUCUUCGGAGUGAGUAUAGUGGCGCACGGGUGAGUAAUACGUAGGUGACCUACCUUAUAGUGGGGAAUAACAAGAAGAAAUUCUUGCUAAUACCGCAUAAGCUCAUGGAUUUGAAUAUCUAUGAGGAAAGAGGGCGUAAGCUCUCGCUGUGAGAUGGGCCUGCGGGACAUUAGCUUGAUGGUGGGGUAACGGCCUACCAUGGCAACGAUGUCUAGCCGGUCUGAGAGGAUGAUCGGCCACACUGGAACUGAGACACGGUCCAG